rnacentral:rRNA from 1 species
GCCUAACGGCUGAACUGGCAACUUGGAGAAGUGGCAAGUUUUAUAAUUAAUAGUAAUUAAUAUUUCUAUUUUUAUAAAAUUCUAUUAGAAUUGAAUGAAGCUUUGUUUAUAUAUUGAUAAUGACAGUAUAUAUAUCGUGUCUUGACUAAUUGCGUGCCAGCAGUCGCGGUAAUACGUAAGAGACUAGUGUUAUUCAUCUUAAUUAGGUUUAAAGGGUACCCAGACGGUCAAUAUAUCUUCUAUAAUGUUAGUACUUGACUAGAGUUUUAUGUAAGAGGGCAGUACUUGAGGAGGAGAGAUGAAAUUUCGUGAUACCAAAGGGACUCUGUAAAGGCGAAGGCAGCCCUCUAUGUAAAAACUGACGUUGAAGGACGAAGGCACAGAGAACAAACAGGAUUAGAUACCCAAGUAGUCUUUGCAGUAAAUGAUGAAUGCCAUAGGUCAGAUCUAAAUUUAAUGUUUAUAAAUUAUAGAAGCGUCUUAAUUGGCAGCUUUGCAAAAAAUUAUAAAGAUUAAAAAUUAUUUGGUCUAUAAAUGAAAGUGUAAGCAUUUCACCUCAAGAGUAAUGUGGCAACGCAGGAACUGAAAUCACUAGACCGUUUCUGACACCAGUAGUGAAGU